AUGUUGUACGAAAGGAGAGAAGGUUAGCACUCCCCUUGACAAGGAUGGAAUUGGCCCUUGUGGCCUGCAACACAUAUAUACGGUUAAGCCAUUGUCACCUACUUCGUGGCAUUUCUAACCAUGUUUUAGG
rnacentral:ncRNA from 1 species